rnacentral:lncRNA from 8 species
AGACACUGUAAUGUCACUAGGACUGUAACUCUCUGUCAGACACUGUAAUGUCACUAGGGCUGUAACUCUCUGUCACACUGUAAUGUCACUAGGGCUGUAACUCUCUGUCAGACACUGUAAUGUCACCAGGGCUGUGAUGAUACCAGUAUCGCAGUACAUUUUCCAUGGCUAAAAUGAAAGCAGGAAGCAGACAAGUCUCUGGUCCUUUAAUAACCUGCUGUGUGUUAGACAUAGUGUUCUAUAGCUGGGUAAUAAAUACAUGAGACUGGAUGACAACAUAAAGUUUGAUUAAUAACCUGCUGUGUGUUAGACAUAGUGUUCUAUAGCUGGGUAAUAAAUACAUGAGACUGGAUGACAACAUAAAGUUUGAUUAAUAACCUGCUGUGUGUUAGACAUAGUGUUCUAUAGUUGGGUAAUAAAUACAUGAGACUGGAUGACAACAUAAAGUUUGAUUCCAACAUUAGGGCUGUUUUCCUAAACAAGUUAAAUCCUCUUCGUGUUGGUUUUCUUGCGACGAUACUAACGACUAUGGUGAUACUGGUAUUGUCCCUAAAUGCCACCUCCUCUCUCUCUUUAUCUCUGUCGCUCUCUCUCUCUUUAUCUCUGUCGCUCUCUCUCUCUUUAUCUCUGUCGCUCUCUCUCUUUAUCUCUGUCGCUCUCUCUCUUUAUCUCUGUCGCUCUCUCUCUCUAUCUCUGUCGCUCUCUCUUUAUCUCUGUCGCUCUCUCUCUCUUUAUCUCUGUCGCUCUCUCUCUCUCUUUAUCUCUGUCGCUCUCUCUCUCUCUCUUUAUCUCUGUCGCUCUCUCUCUUUAUCUCUGUCGCUCUCUCUCUCUUUAUCUCUGUCGCUCUUUCUCUGUCGCUCUCUCUCUCGUUCUCUGUCGCUCUCUCUCUCUUUACCUCUGUCGCUCUCUCUCUCUCUUUAUCUCUGUCGCUCUCUCUCUCUUUAUCUCUGUCGCUCUCAGUCACACACUAACUCCAAGGUCAACAGUUAUGUUAUCAAACUAUUCCGACUCCAUAGAAACAGAAAAACAUAA